AGAGCAGGAACAGGGAGAAACGAGGACGCAGCAACCUGGCUGGUGACACUGAUAUUGCUCCCCCCUCCCCCGCCACGCCGGUAUAAAUCCCCAGUGGCCGGCCAGCCCGCCUGCCAGCCCACCAUGCUCUCAAGAGGCAGCCCACUGACCCCGGCCCGGAUCCCGCCCUUCCAGCUCCCAGCCCACAGUCAGCGCCCUUGGAGCACCAGCCGGGGGCUGCAGCCAUCAGACGGGGGACCUGUCCUGCUCCACGUGCCCACGGUCACUGCAGCCUACAGGUUCCAGGUGCUGGCCCAGAGGCCCCAGGUGCUGUCUGCUGAGGCCCCGCUCUGGGGGACAUCACCAGAGAUCCCUGCAGACCGCAGCUGGAGCCUGGACCAAACCGAGAUUCCCGGCACACCGCCCCAUGGCAGAUUCCAGAAUCUCUCGAAGAUGAGGAAGCUAAGGUCCAGAGAGGUCAACCAACGUGUCCUGGGUCACACAGCCGGGGUUCUAGCCCAGGAGGUGGGCUGCCUCCAGCACCAUCUGCCCCCCACGUCCCUCUUGUGUUCGGAAGCCCAUCAUGUGGGUGCAGAAAGUCUGCCACCCACAGCCCCUGGAGCCCUCACUCCAACCCGGAGCACCAGGGACACCGCAGAGCCCUGCAGCCCCCCAGGGCGAUCCGGGCAUGGCUGUCCACCCCCAGGAUCCUGGCCAGUGACACAGGAGAGGACUCCAGUUCCGCGUGGACAUGGAUGUAAAAAUAAGAAGUUUUGGUCAACUUUGCAAAUGGGGGGUUGGGUGGAGAAGGGGUCUUCGAUCCCUGGGGCUGUUGGUUUAAGCUCAGGCUCGCCCAGGUGAGACUGACGAUGCCCCUGCCCCGGGGGUCUGGCCCUCCUGCUUCCCACUUCCCCCUGCAGCUCCAAUCCCACCUGGAGCCUCCACUAUCCACAGAAAUAGGUCCCCCUGCCACCUCCUCAUCAGACUGGGAGCUUCAUGGGGGUAGGCUCUGAUGCUCAAUAAACGUCCUCUGCUGGCG
ensembl:lncRNA